GCAGACAUAGAGGAGCCUGAACACAGCCAAUAGUUCCCCUCCAGCCCACCGCCAGGCGGAUAAGACAGCUUCACUAAAUCAGUCAAGGACAGGCAGACUGUCAACAAAUCUAAGAAAAUCCUCUGUUUGAAGAAAGAAAGUAAAAAGAUUUGAUUUGGAGACAAGAGCUCUGGGAUUUAAUGAAAGCCCAUCCCUCCCCCCUGUGUCAUCGGUAGCCAGCCAGCAUACACUGUGAGACGCAUCCUGAAGGUUCGUCCACGGAGCAGUACCUGGUUGACUGUUAUGGCCCAGAGGAGAGGAGCUGGGUUCCCGCUAAAGACAUCUUGGACUCCCCGCCACCCCAGUCUACCAAGUAUCCUCCUGCCGUCCUGUACCUUUGCCACUACUCUGGAUUAUCGAUCCCUGCCUGCCUUGACCUGUCGUUUGACUGCCCUUGUUGUUGCAAGAAACAUUGUUACUUCAACACAGUCUGCACUUGGGUCUUACCUGAAACUUGGUAGGGUCACUAGGUACAGAGUUUUCAUCAUGUGUUAAAUAUUUAAGGCCCCAAGUGACUAAUUGUCUGAUGAUACUCACAGAGUAUUUCUGUACAAUUCUCAUUUCUUUUCUUGGCAUGUCUUUGACUGCGGAGCUGUUUUGUUUUGGUAUUGUAAUUCCUUUCAAAGAUAGCAAAAUUAGCCAUGUAGCCUAUUCAAGGGAUGAGUUUGUUGGACAUCAUGUUUAGGAAAACUGUCAAGAAUGGGCAGAAACAUGUCGUUCUGUUUAUUCAAGUCCUGAAUGGAUGUGGUUUUGUUCUCCUCUGACUCAAUACAACCCUGUCAUACAGUCUAAAGAUUACAUUUAAAGAGCCCUUCCUUGUAUACAUGUUUCUGGAGCUACUUCAAAGGUACUUGACUGAGUAUCAAUAAUAAUUAUACUUGGAAAAGUUAUAUAAUGUGUCUAAUGGUGCUAUUAUGUAUAGGAAAAUGGAAGGGCUUGGUGGUGAGACAAGUUGGAUACUGUGUCAUUGCUUACAGAUGUGAUUGUGGAAAAAGAAACAACUCUGUCGAUACAGAAGAACAUCUUCAAUGAAAAUAGUACUCUUCUGUAUUCUGUUAAAAUGUAAUGGUUCGUUCAUAGUGUGUCACUAAGGACUGAUGUCAUCAGCAUGGGACCAGAGGGGAUCAGUUACCAAACUGUUUUCAUUAGUUACGGCCCAACACUUUUAGUGUAAGCCAAUGACCUAAACACUCUUUGAACACAAUGAGUGUUUAACAGAGCCAGUGGGUAAUUUGCAGUGAGACAUGACAUGGUUAAAUAGCCUAAACCAUUUAUUUCCUAUAGCUUAUUGAGUCUGAGUCAGAGAUGUCAGACUGGUACUUUGACAGUCAUGGUACCUAUUUCUCUUACCACACAGGAUAUAUGUAGGCAACAGCUACACUAUGUUUACUGUACACUGCAAUUCAGAAACUUUGUGAUGUCUGGAGACUUGAGAUCUGACCCCCUCUGUGACACACAGACAAAUAUGCUUCUCACAUAUUUUUCACUGGCCUCUGUAGUUUAAUCUGUGUGCAGGGCGGGGAGGCAGACUGUUUGUGUCUAUUUAAAGUCACUCUGUUUGCUCCCUCUGUCAACCUGUCUGGGCCUGUCACACUUCUCUCUCUCUCUCUCUCUCUCUCUCUCUCUCUCUCUCUCUCUCUCUCUCUCUCUCUCUCUCUC